GAGCCGGAUUUAUCCCGAGUUACGUUAUGCGUUUAAAUAAUUCAUUUUAAUUAUGUUUCAUUUAGCGCCAUCCAUUUCCUUAAAUGUCUGAAUGUUAAUUCAGACUGACACAAUUCUCCCAGAGUUCUUCAAUGUAAAGUAGCACAGAAGAGGGGUUUUACAGCAAUAAACGCAAACCGCUGAGUAUCGGAGUCGUUAAUGUAAUGGCACUUGCCCGUUUCUUUCACCAGUGGGUGAACCCAUUUCUCACGCAAAACACGCUCUUUUCUCAUACCCGCUCAGGAUCAGAUCAAUGGGAUUUUGCUCUUGCUUCACGCAAGCCUUUUGAAAUGCUGAAACGAUGACAACAAAGCAAACAAACUGGAAAGAAAUCCCUGAAAACUCCAACCUGGACUGGAAGGGCUGAUUUUGGUUGGACUGUGUGUGCGUGUGUUUCGUGAAUGGGAGAACAUUACCACAGUAUGAAUGCUCACACUGAUGUCAUACCACUGAGCAGUAUUUCAGCAUACUUUAAAACCAGCAAGAUGAGCUAACGUCACCAGGGUCUAUUCGAUCAAGGCUUCUGGACUGGUAACUGUGCAAGAGGCGACUUGACUGCAACUCUGAUACUGAUGAAUUCAAGUGAGUUUUCUCCUAGCACAGUGCAAAUUUCAAAAACCAUGGACUCAAGUGUUCCUCUAUUUAUAAGCAGAAAUAUAAAAAGUGUAGUCGCAAAUGCCUCGCAAAAACAUGUAAUCCAGCUGCGUACAGCAGUUAAAAUUACAAUAGUAAAACA